AGUGAACGCUGGCGGUAGGCCUAACACAUGCAAGUCGAGCGGCAGCACAGUAAUAGCUUGCUCUUACGGCGGCCGACUGGCGGGCGAUUGCGAAGUACCUCGGAAUCUACUUUUGCGUAGGGGCUAACAUGGGGAAACAUACGCUAUUACCGCAUACGACCUACGGGUGAGAGCUGGGGAUCUUCGGACCUCACACGAUUGAAUGACGCGAUGUCGGAUUAGCUAGUUGGCGGGGUAAAGGCCCACCAAGGCGACGAUCCGUAGCUGGUCUGAGAGGAUGAUCAGCCACACUGGAACUGAGACACGGUCCAGACUCCUACGGGAGGCAGCAGUGGGGAAUAUUGGACAAUGGGCGCAAGCCUGAUCCAGCCAUACCGCGUGGGUGAAGAAGGCCUUCGGGUUGUAAAGCCCUUUUGUUGGGAAAGAAAAGCAGCAGGUUAAUACCCCGCUGUUCUGACGGUACCCAAAGAAUAAGCACCGGCUAACUUCGUG
rnacentral:rRNA from 1 species